GGGUUGUGACUUUCCCUUGUGACGGGUUUGAGAUGGUUUCCACCAUCAUAUGAGAUCAAUCCUUCUGGAUAAUUUUGGGUGCUUUACACAUCGCAAUAACUUGUUUUGGAUGCUUUAAACAUCAACAAGAGAGAGGCCUUGCAGUGGAUUUGUGAAGGUUUGCUCUGUAUUUUUUUUUUACAGCAGGAGCAAGGUGUAGCAGAAGCCAUGGGAGCAUGCUUUGCUCCGGUGUUGUUGCUUGCUUUUCUCUGCGUUGCGUGACUCCUCUCCUCCUUUGGCUGUUCCCCAUUUUCCAGGCCUCUUGGUAGGUUCUCCCCUACAUCAUCGGCUAUUCUUCCUUUGAUGCUUGUUUGUGGCUUUGGAUGCUCAAGGCAUCUGUGAGAGAAAUCUCACUGUGUUGCUGCCUUUAAGAACAAAUAACAAAGAAAUUCAAGUGGAAUUUCUUUAUCUCGUGCUUUUCUGCUCUUAGUAGAAAUCUGUCAGCAAUUCAUUUGCUCUUGUAUGCACUCCUCUUCUGCCUUUGUGGCCUUGUAGCCUUUUUUUUUUUUUUGCUUUUUCUCUUUGAAGCCUCCUUACAGAGUGCUUGUGAAUUGGAUGUUGAGCACAUCCUGGAAGCAUAUGAGAGAAGCUGCACCUCGGAGCAGAUCAGGACUUGAUCUAAUAAAUUAUUGAAAUCAUCUUGGCUGUCAAUCCAUAGCUGGAUGUCGUGGAGGUAUUUGAGAGGAGAUAUGCCUUAGAGUAGAUUCUUGACUUAAUUUGUGAUGAUUGAAAUCAUCAUAGCCAAGAAUUCCCAUGGGUUGAUUGUACUGGAUGUUGAGUGCUUCCUUGGAAGUCUUUGAGUAGAGCCUUGCCAUAGAGAGAUUCCUAACUAUUUUUUUACGAUGAUGGAAGUCACCAUAGCCAGGAAUCCUCUUAUGUGUUUGCUCUUCCCCUUUGUUCCUGUGGCUCUCCCCUUCCCAGCAGUUGUUCUGUUCCCUGCCUCCCUUUCUUUGCUUCUAGGCGUCAUGCCUCUUAUAGAGGCUAUAUUAUGACGAGUUUGAAUUCAAGCUGAUGACCACUUCUCAACUGAGAUACUUAACUCUUGGUGUUUCAUAUCUAACCAAAUACAUCUCUUUUAUUUUUUAUUUAUUUAUCAUUUAUUUUUUCUUGAUAAGACUACAGGGACAAAAAUUUCAAUUAUAUCCCAAGUCAAAUUCCUGGCUGAUUGCUUUUGUGAAAAUUUCCCGUUCAACAACCACAUUUUCCUACAAAUUUUGUAACUAUCACAUAUAAAU
rnacentral:lncRNA from 1 species